UCUGAACUGGCAAAACCCUGGGCCGCCGAAGUGGAGCACACGAGCUGAACCACUUGGCCACGGGGCCAGCCCCCCGCUCCUUCCUCCUAAUCCAAAAUGUUACUAUUAUAAAUAUAUUUUAAAACAAAUUUUAAACAUUAUAUUUAAAACAAAGACAUUUUUGUUUUAUAAAAGGGCAGAAAUUUGAAUAGAAAUCAGAAGACUCCAUUCUCUAUAAUCACAUAAGUUCAGUUUUCUUUGUUGAAAAUGACUAUUUCAGAAUGAUUAUAAUGGUGUUAACAUGUGAGUACAAAACCUCUUAGGAAAGUAACAAUGUUGGUUGUUUACUUUAAAUUUUAUUAAUGUAAGAAGAGAAUACUUGAUGGCUAUUAUUGGAUGCCUGAGUUCACUUCCCUUAGGAAAGAAGGGAGAGAAACAGAGGAUGUAAUUAGGGUGGAACACAAUGAGGGUUGGAGAGGGUGGAAGGACACAAUGACACUUCCCUCCCAGGCCAGCCCUAAGAGCCAGCAGGGACUGUGGACAAGGCAGCAGUUCAACCCUGCACACAUCAGUAGUUGUGCACUUGAGUUUCCUCAUCUCUAAGACCACAGGGCUUGGCCAGCCAGCCUCCAAAGACCUUUCCAGAGCUUUGUCAGUCUGUGAUUUUGAAACAGAACUUGAUUCCAUUUGAGAAGAUUAACAAUCAGAAACGAGGAAUGUCAGCAGCAAUGGCUGGCUCUUUACCUGUCCUACACCACACAGAUGUGUUGCUGGGGUACACCACACAGCCUUACCACUCUAGCUCAAGAAAUAACAUAUGCCAGCAAUAGUACUCACACAUGACAGUAGGAAAGUUGUCACAGAUUCACAAAUUAUAUUUACCACUUUAGAAAAACGCCUAUCUUUGUUCAAUAUUCAAUCUGUCAUAUCAAACCCACCAGAAUUAUCUUGCUGGCCGUCUUAAAAAACUUACCAUUAUAUUAUUGAAUAAAUAAAGAACUUAUAACUAGUUUAUUUGCAAAAAGAUUAUUUUAAAAUGUUUUUCUUCUCUUACAUCAUAUAAUUAACCUAGUGUCAUGGAUGAAAAGGAAUGCUGCUAGUUAAGGCAAUAGAAUUACGAGGUGCUGAAUGGUAAGUAGUACCUAUUUGAUAAGAGGAGUAUCUUCUGUUCACUCCUAUAUGGCUUUUCUCUUGUCACGUGUCAAGGAGUAGGAACCAAAGCCCUAAGUACAAUAGUCCUUAUUUAUACUUGCUCCUCAACAUUCAUUGAGUGUACAUUAUGUGCCAGCUUCAUGCUAAAGGCUAAAGGGUAGCGACAGAAUGAUGAGCAAGACACAUUCUGGUCCUCUGUUGACUUAUAGGGACUGAGGGGAAAUGAGACUGGCACCAGGAGGACCAAGAGCCCAGAGGAGGAAAACAAGAUCUGAAUUAGGGUGAUAGUGAGCAGGGAGAAGAGGUGAAACGUUUGAAAGAUAUUUAGGAGGUAGAAUCAACAGGACUUUAGUAACAGUUAGUAUGUGGAACAAGAGAGGAGCCUGGAAGAUGCAAAGGGAUUUCUUGACCAUGAGAAACAAGACACAGUGACUGGAUUUAAUGUGUGAGUCCAGUUCUUGUCACUUAGGGUAAAUAUUCAGUUUCAAAUCUCAUCGUUAAUAAAAAGCCAUUGUAAGAACAUAAUAGAAGAAAUCAGAUGACUUCUGCCUGAGAUUCUGACCAAUGGGGUACUGAAACUUGCCACUGGACACUCCAUGGCUUAAGCUGGUCAUUUAUUAAAUAUAAAUGAUGUCUUCUUUUGAGUUCAUAAUAAACUCAAGUGCUGAAGGCCAUGGGCUAUAAAACAGUUUUAAUCUAGACUAUGUUUAUUUAACAACUUGUCUCUUCUUUUCUUCUACUGAAUCUCCCAUGGCACAGAUUGCCCAUGAAGGACCUGUAAAUAGCCAAGCCAAAUGGAUUGUUUUCAAUCCACAUCUUCCUUGACCUCUCUACAGCCUUUGAAACUUUUGACCACUUUCUCCAUGAAAUCCUCUCCCCUCUGACUUCCAUGCACCAGUCACUUUGGUUCUCUUCCUUUCCAUGGCUUCUCCCCCUCAGUCUCCUCUGAAGGCUCCUUUGCUCUGCUCAACCCUUAAAGACUGGUGACCUCAGUUACCACUUUGGGGCUGAUGCCUCUCACCUCCAUAUCUGUAGCCCAGUCCUCUCUCCUUCCCUAAUGAGCUCUACAUCUAUUCUUCUGGAUGUCCCUCAGACACAUCAAACUCAAGACGGUCAUCAUGAAGCUGGUCAUCUCCUUGUCCUCAACACCUGCUCUUCUUCCUGUAUCUUCAGCUCAUUUGCCAGCACUCACGACACUCAGGACAAACUUGAGACUUGGAGUCAUCCUUGACUCCUUACACCUGAGUUGAUCACUAUAUCCUGACAAUGCUACCUCUUAAAUAUUUCUCCACUGUGUCCCCUUUCUCUGUGCCAACUGUGAUGAUCCUGGUUCAGCCCCUCCAUUUUCUCUUACUCAGACUCCUUUGCUCCCAGCCUUGUCUUUCUUAAGAAAUGUCCUCCAAGCAAGCUCUAGAAUGAGCUCUUUAAUAUUCAAAUCUGCUCUUAUUUCUCUCCUGCUUUAAAUUCUUCUGCGGCUCCCCUUCACACUAAGGGUACAGCCAAGCUCCUCUGCAUGGCACCCAUGUGUAUUCAGCUCCUCCCCAAGAAUGUGUGAGUUCCUCCAGAACAGGGACUAUCUGAGGUGAGCAGGAGAGGUGGGACUGGGAGUUUGGGAGUUAGAAGAGCAGCAGAGUAGCUGCUGAGGAUGUUAUUUUUAGUCUUCCUAGCCAUAGCUAAAAUCUUACCUAAACCCUACAGCAGGAGUAUUUCAAGUUUAAAAACAAUUCACAUGUUGUAGGGGAAUUUACUAUGGUCAUGGAAUCCAAGAAGAAUCUCCAGGAAGGAAUACAGAGAGAAAGUAAAUUUGAAUUUCCAUACCAACGAGCAGUGGUUUAUUGAAGAAUUGUUUUCAGCAUUAUUUUUGACAUAUGGAGAACCAGAUGUGCCCAGGGUCAAAAGAAUGGACGAUAAGUUUGAAGCAAUGUUCCUCUUAAAUUGUUUAUAUUUGUGGCCAUUAUUUUGAAACAUUUGCAAAAAAAUUUUGAUCUUUAAACUUUUUCCCUUGGUGUUCUUAUAAAAUAAAAAUUGAAAUGAU